rnacentral:rRNA from 1 species
CCCUUAGAUGUCCUGGGCCGCACGCGCGCUACACUGACAUGUUCAACAAGCCUCCUAGUUCGACAGGAUUUGGGAAAUCUCUGAACGCAUGUCGUGAUAGGGAUAGAUCAUUGCAAUUAUUGAUCUUGAACGAGGAAUUCCUAGUAAACGCGAGUCAUCAGCUCGCAUUGAUUACGUCCCUGCCCUUUGUACACACCGCCCGUCGCACCUACCGAUUGAAUGUUUCGGUGAAGAUUCCGGAUAGGACUUUUUUGAUUUAUUUCAAUUUUGUCUUAAAAGCUAUCUAAACCUCAACAUUUAGAGGAAGGUGAAGUCGUAACA